GAUAAAGUCAUUGGUAGUAGAAUACUGAAUGCACUAGUUUUAAAUUAAUCACUGAAGGUAAGCAACAUUGCGCGUGGUUGGUAUCAGGAUGGGUGACCAUCUGGGUAAUCGUGUGACUUUUUCC
rfam:Asian citrus Psyllid, Diaphorina citri - Florida Strain, whole genome shotgun sequence.